rnacentral:rRNA from 1 species
CCUACGGGAGGCAGCAGUGGGGAAUAUUGCACAAUGGGGGAAACCCUGAUGCAGCGACGCCGCGUGAGUGAAGAAGUAUUUCGUUAUGUAAAGCUCUAUCAGCAGGGAAGAAAAUGACGGUACCUGAGUAAGAAGCCCCGGCUAACUACGUGCCAGCAGCCGCGGUAAUACGUAGGGGGCAAGCGUUAUCCGGAUUUACUGGGUGUAAAGGGAGCGUAGACGGCAGUGCAAGUCUGGAGUGAAAGGCGGGGGCUCAACCCCCGGACUGCUCUGGAAACUGUACGGCUGGAGUGCAGGAGAGGUGAGUGGAAUUCCUAGUGUAGCGGUGAAAUGCGGAGAUAUUAGGAGGAACACCAGUGGCGAAGGCGACUUACUGGACUGUAACUGACGUUGAGGCUCGAAAGCGUGGGGAGCAAACAGGAUUAGAUACCCUAGUAGUC